rnacentral:sRNA from 1 species
GAGUCGUCAGCGAACAAGGCCAACUUC